rnacentral:rRNA from 1 species
UGCCAGCAGCCGCGGUAAUACGAAGGGAACUAGCGUUGUUCGGAUUUACUGGGCGUAAAGAGCAUGUAGGCGGAUUGGACAGUUGGAGGUGAAAUCCCGGAGCUCAACUCCGGAACUGCCUUCAAUACUUCCAGUCUAGAAUCUGUAAGGGGGUGGUGGAAUUCCGAGUGUAGAGGUGAAAUUCGUAGAUAUUCGGAGGAACACCAGUGGCGAAGGCGACACCCUGGACCAAUACUGACACUGGGGUGCGAAAGCGUGGGGAGCAAACAGGAUUAGAUA